rnacentral:rRNA from 1 species
AGAGUUUGAUCCUGGCUCAGGACGAACGCUGGCGGCGUGCCUAAUACAUGCAAGUCGAACGAAGCUUUCUUUCACCGAAUGCUUGCAUUCACCGAAAGAAGCUUAGUGGCGAACGGGUGAGUAACACGUAGGCAACCUACCAAAAGAGGGGGAUAACACUUGGAAACAGGUGCUAAUACCGCAUAACCAUGAACACCGCAUGAUGUUCGUGUAAAAGACGGCUUUUGCUGUCACUUUUGGAUGGGCCUGCGGCGUAUUAACUUGUUGGUGGGGUAACGGCCUACCAAGGUGAUGAUACGUAGCCGAACUGAGAGGUUGAUCGGCCACAUUGGGACUGAGACACGGCCCAAACUCCUACGGGAGGCAGCAGUAGGGAAUCUUCCACAAUGGACGAAAGUCUGAUGGAGCAACGCCGCGUGAAUGAAGAAGGCCUUCGGGUCGUAAAAUUCUGUUGUCAGAGAAGAAUGUGCGUGAGAGUAACUGUUCACGUAUUGACGGUAUCUGACCAGAAAGCCACGGCUAACUACGUGCCAGCAGCCGCGGUAAUACGUAGGUGGCAAGCGUUGUCCGGAUUUAUUGGGCGUAAAGGGAACGCAGGCGGUCUUUUAAGUCUGAUGUGAAAGCCUUCGGCUUAACCGAAGUAGUGCAUUGGAAACUGGAAGACUUGAGUGCAGAAGAGGAGAGUGGAACUCCAUGUGUAGCGGUGAAAUGCGUAGAUAUAUGGAAGAACACCAGUGGCGAAAGCGGCUCUCUGGUCUGUAACUGACGCUGAGGUUCGAAAGCGUGGGUAGCAAACAGGAUUAGAUACCCUGGUAGUCCACGCCGUAAACGAUGAGUGCUAAGUGUUGGAGGGUUUCCGCCCUUCAGUGCUGCAGCUAACGCAUUAAGCACUCCGCCUGGGGAGUACGGUCGCAAGACUGAAACUCAAAGGAAUUGACGGGGGCCCGCACAAGCGGUGGAGCAUGUGGUUUAAUUCGAAGCAACGCGAAGAACCUUACCAGGUCUUGACAUCUUCUGACAAUUCCAGAGAUGGAACGUUCCCUUCGGGGACAGAAUGACAGGUGGUGCAUGGUUGUCGUCAGCUCGUGUCGUGAGAUGUUGGGUUAAGUCCCGCAACGAGCGCAACCCUUAUUGUCAGUUGCCAUCAUUAAGUUGGGCACUCUGGCGAGACUGCCGGUGACAAACCGGAGGAAGGUGGGGAUGACGUCAAAUCAUCAUGCCCCUUAUGACCUGGGCUACACACGUGCUACAAUGGACGGUACAACGAGUCGCUAACUCGCGAGGGCAAGCUAAUCUCUUAAAGCCGUUCUCAGUUCGGAUUGCAGGCUGCAACUCGCCUGCAUGAAGUCGGAAUCGCUAGUAAUCGCGAAUCAGCAUGUCGCGGUGAAUACGUUCCCGGGCCUUGUACACACCGCCCGUCACACCAUGAGAGUUUGUAACACCCAAAGUCGGUGGGGUAACCUUUUGGAGCCAGCCGCCUAAGGAGGGACAGAUGAUUGGGGUGAAGUCGUAACAAGGUA